CAAGACAACUUUACGGAGUUGACGAUUGACGGAGCGAAGCGACGUCAAAGCGUUCAUUAAAGUCGAGUUGGCUUAGGGAUACGUUCGUUGGGUAGGGGAGCGUUCUGUAAGCCUGUGAAGGUGUGUCGUGAGGCAUGCUGGAGGUAUCAGAAGUGCGAAUGCUGACAUAAGUAACGAUAAAGCGGGUGAAAAGCCCGCUCGCCGGAAGACCAAGGGUUCCUGUCCAACGUUAAUCGGGGCAGGGUGAGUCGACCCCUAAGGCGAGGCCGAAAGGCGUAGUCGAUGGGAAACGGGUUAAUAUUCCCGUACUUGGUGUUACUGCGAAGGGGGGACGGAGAAGGCUAUGUUGGCCGGGCGACGGUUGUCCCGGUUUAAGCGUGUAGGUGUGUGUUCCAGGUAAAUCCGGUUCACUUUAACACUGAGGCGUGACGACGAGGCACUACGGUGCUGAAGCAACAAAUGCCCUGCUUCCAGGAAAAGCCUCUAAGCAUCAGGUAACACGAAAUCGUACCCCAAACCGACACAGGUGGUCAGGUAGAGAAUACCAAGGCGCUUGAGAGAACUAGGGUGAAGGAACUAGGCAAAAUGGUGCCGUAACUUCGGGAGAAGGCACGCUGACACGUAGGUGAAGUGAUUUACUCAUGGAGCUGAAGUCAGUCGAAGAUACCAGCUGGCUGCAACUGUUUAUUAAAAACACAGCACUGUGCAAACACGAAAGUGGACGUAUACGGUGUGACGCCUGCCCGGUGCCGGAAGGUUAAUUGAUGGGGUCAGCGUAAGCGAAGCUCCUGAUCGAAGCCCCGGUAAACGGCGGCCGUAACUAUAACGGUCCUAAGGUAGCGAAAUUCCUUGUCGGGUAAGUUCCGACCUGCACGAAUGGCGUAAUGAUGGCCAGGCUGUCUCCACCCGAGACUCAGUGAAAUUGAACUCGCUGUGAAGAUGCAGUGUACCCGCGGCAAGACGGAAAGACCCCGUGAACCUUUACUAUAGCUUGACACUGAACAUUGAGCCUUGAUGUGUAGGAUAGGUGGGAGGCUUUGAAGUGUGGACGCCAGUCUGCAUGGAGCCGACCUUGAAAUACCACCCUUUAAUGUUUGAUGUUCUAACGUGGACCCGUAAUCCGGGUUGCGGACAGUGUCUGGUGGGUAGUUUGACUGGGGCGGUCUCCUCCUAAAGAGUAACGGAGGAGCACGAAGGUUGGCUAAUCCUGGUCGGACAUCAGGAGGUUAGUGCAAUGGCAUAAGCCAGCUUGACUGCGAGCGUGACGGCGCGAGCAGGUGCGAAAGCAGGUCAUAGUGAUCCGGUGGUUCUGAAUGGAAGGGCCAUCGCUCAACGGAUAAAAGGUACUCCGGGGAUAACAGGCUGAUACCGCCCAAGAGUUCAUAUCGACGGCGGUGUUUGGCACCUCGAUGUCGGCUCAUCACAUCCUGGGGCUGAAGUAGGUCCCAAGGGUAUGGCUGUUCGCCAUUUAAAGUGGUACGCGAGCUGGGUUUAGAACGUCGUGAGACAGUUCGGUCCCUAUCUGCCGUGGGCGCUGGAGAACUGAGGGGGGCUGCUCCUAGUACGAGAGGACCGGAGUGGACGCAUCACUGGUGUUCGGGUUGUCAUGCCAAUGGCACUGCCCGGUAGCUAAAUGCGGAAGAGAUAAGUGCUGAAAGCAUCUAAGCACGAAACUUGCCCCGA
rnacentral:rRNA from 1 species